rnacentral:lncRNA from 1 species
UUGUCUGUUGGGUUAGAGGAGCACGAAGUUGAAGUUGGCUAAGGCCUUUGGGCCUCCAACAAGAUAUGUCGCAAUACUAGUAAUCUAGGUGUGUUUCUCACUUCUCACUUCUAUCGUCCUUCUCUUCCUGUAAUCAACAGUCUAUGUCAUAAGACCACUUCUUGGGUGGAAAUCUUGGGUGUAGUGUCUUUUUUUACUAGCACAAUCAAUUCAAUAUGAAUCACUGCCCUUAACCUUAAGAGGGACCAUCCACAAAUGUCGACCUUGCCUCUGUGCUCCAUGGUUAUAGAGUUUUUUUUAGUCUAGAAUCUAUUUCCAGACUCAUAGGGUUGACUAACAACGCUUCAAACUUGUUGACGAGUCCCAACUCUCCUUCUUUCUAGACUUCAACACUGCUGCCGAACUCGUCGCUCUAACCGGGGAUCCUGAUGCGUCUCCGACUAUCAAAUCACAUCCUAGGGACCUACGUGUUCUUCACUGGCUUAUCACCCACUUCUUCCUUCCUAGGAGAGCCCAUCAAUCGUCCAUUAUAAGACUUGAUGUAUUCAUAAUAGCCAGUGUAGUAAAGGCAUUGCAAUUAGACUCUCUAAUCUCAUAUGCAUCUAUAUGAUCAAUCAGCACCUGGUGGUGAAUACGUUGAGGAUCCUUUCCCUUACUGUGCCUUGAUUACUCACUUCCUCCAUGAAAUCGGCAUAAGGUUCGAGGAUACGUCAUUUCCCACAAGUGGACUACUCACUCUGUUUGAUACCUUCUUGAGCAUACUAGUAUGUAUUUAUUUCCUUCUUCAUUAUAUAUUUUGGCAUGUUAUCACAUUUUUAUUUUAUAUUUCAGUUUUUUAUUCUUAUUAUAUGUUUUUUUCAUCCGCUAAUUACUAUGUGACGGCAACUGACGAGCGUCAGCUGGGAUGAAAUUCUGUUGUGGUGCCUGAUGUUUUCGAAAGCAGCACUGACAAUGAUGAAGAUUUUAGGGUGGAAUAAAUGGGCAGGGGAGGGGGAUUGAAGGAGGGUAAGGCUAAGUUUGUUCAAUCUUCUGUUGUUUUAUUUCCUAUGAACAAUUUUCUAUUAACGAUGUUUGUGUUGAUUGUGUUCUUUUUGCUUUUGUAUUGAAUUCCUUUACAUUUGAACUGGUUGAUGUUUAAGGUUAUAAUCAUUUUAUUUGGUUUUUAUUAGUGUGUAACCUACCUUAUGGUUUAACUAUCGUAGUUACAAUAGCUGGAAUGAUAA